UCUUCAUGAAGAUUAUGAAACAGUGCUUUUUUAUAGUCACAUGCACCGUUGAUUUACAAACUCCCUGGACUUGUUCUUGAGGCAUGUUGAGCGACCACUCCUAUACUCCUGCGCCAUUUCUUCUAUCCUGCUACUCCCUCUAGAACGAAAACAUCAGCCAUCUGGUCCAGGGUUCAAAGGUCAACUCUCAGGCUGAUCUUGUUGAAAUUCAGGUGGUGGGUAGAGACACCUCCUCAGCCCACAGGAACUCAAAUUGUUUGCGAGAACCAUUCUGUGAGAGGCAGCUUUCCAAAUGCAUCAUGCGCUCGUCAUAAGAUGUGCAGAUGGAUGAGGCCUGGAUGGUGUACCUCUCAGUCACCCACUCUACCCCCGCCCAGUUCGCUCCCCAGUGGCCCGGUGAUGGAUUGCAGACCGCAGGGGUGAAGGUGGAGAG